UUAUCUAUCUAAAUCUAAUACUUCAUCCAAAUCGGUGAAUGAGAUGAGCGUAAUAUAUAUUUUCUGCACUCGUAUCACAAAUUUCCAUAUAAAACAUUAGCACCCGCCGUUUUUGUGUUAUAACUUUAUUUAACCCUUAUUAAUUUUCGAUGUCACCAAAUAGUUUCUAUGCGCGAGAUGUUGAUGUAUGUUGUAAAGAAAAAUAAGUUCUGUCAGACGAUGGGCCCUUAGUGACGUGAUAUUUGGUACUUUCCAAGAAAUUAUCUCAUGAUGAAGCGGUCUGUGAUUUCGAAGCUGCUAACAUUUUCGAGGAUUAAGAGGAUCUGUCACGGGCUGGUGUCGGAUCAUCAGUACAUGUUGACUGCCAGGCCUCAGCAAGCAGUUCCACCAGAUGUUACAAACGACCCAGUGUGCCGUCUUAAUCGUCUAUCAGCCAUCAUCGAGAUCUACUCCAUACCAGAAGCACGCAGCCUGAACUUUCUCUAGCAUUCAAAUAUGUAGGAAUUAAUACACGUACUGUAAUUAAUAUAGCAUUCAAGAUAAACGCUAUUCAAAAAUAUUAUGUAAAUUAAAUAUAUCCUAUUGUGACGUACUCUAAAUUUCUUUGAAUCAAAAUGCUUGGGAAAGUUUAAAUAAAAGAAAAUACUUUGA